CGGAGACAAAAACAUCCGAGCUGUACAUCGUGAAUUUCCCCAACCGUUUUGUCAGCAAUACCACAGCAUAGCUUUGGAAAGACACAGAGCGCUGUAUUUGAUGGAGAGGAAGAGAGGCUCCUGACUCUUAACUGCUCAGAGUAUGUGGAAAUGUUUUCAAGUAUUUGAGGAAGAACAAUUGAACCUAAGCCUGUGUAAUGAGCCGCAGAAAGGGAAAGAGUGACUCUGGGGAGGCACUGCAGGAAAUCUUGCAGAGGUGAGAUCUGACUGGGGUAAAAGUGCAACUGUCUGGAGGACAGGAGGGCUCUGUGCUUCCGGUGUGGUUAGAGGAAGUGGGGCUGCAGCAGCUGGAGUCAGCCCACCCCAGGGUGAUCGGGACAGGUUUUCCAACGGGCAAAACCUCUGAACAGAAGCCAACAGGGUACCAGGGCUCACCGGGAGCCACGGGAAUGCCUAGAGAGAGCUACAAGGGAUUCUGGCCUUGGACUGACGCUGGCUUUCAGUCUCCAGGAAGGUGUCUGGCUAAAUCGGUUCUGAGGCUCCAUCUGGCCUGACAUUCUGGCCCCACUGAGGGUCACCUUUACUCAUGGACAUUUCCCUUUCUUUCAGCCUCACCUGCUUUUUUUCCUCCGUGAAAAUAGAGAAGUGGUAAAACAGGAAAUAGGAUGUUGGUUGAGGUAAGGGGCUAUGCCCCAGAACUAAAUAAAACUCCCCCCUCCCCCAUUCUCAACUCUGUCACUUUGUGGGACCUCACUCAAGUCUCUGGAAUCCUGGUUUCUCAGAGUAAAAUAAAAACUUUGGCGAGAACGACCAAGGAUGCCACUUCCAUUUCUCAUCCCUUUGACUAGCCUAAGAACUAGACUAAUGAGAGAGUCAUCGUCUUGAACUGAUCCUGGAUAGUGAGAGUACCUCACCCAGGCCCUUCCCUCCUGGCUUGUGGAAUCUGUCUUAAAGGAAAAGCAGUGAGUUCCUAGUAUCCCCAGGGCCGUGACAUUUCCCUCAAGCUCUGCAAAUAGUGUCAGAUCCUAAGACCCCAGAGCUUAUCCUGUAGCUAUGACUCCCAGGAGGUGUAUCCAGUGGGGGGUGGGGGGGGGCAGAACCUGCUGCUUGAUGUCAUAGCCAGGAGGGUCAAUCGUUCUGAACAUGGCUAGCUUAUCCAGCGCACUUUAUUUCCACUCAGCUCCACUUGUCCACGCGUGUGAAAGAAAUCAACCCAGUACUUUCCCUUUCUGGUUUUCCCAAAGUCAACUACUCUUUCUGGCCGACUUUACCCCUCAUUAACUAGUUAUUUGAAUGCUGCAUGGAUCCUUUGGAAACCUCCUUCAGAGCAGUCUCUGCAUAAGCCAGUUAAAUCAAGGGGCUUCGAUUGCAUGUGUGUCUGCGUGUGCAUGUGUGUGUUCUUGCAUGAAACAGAUGACAACCUUAGGUGCUGGUCCUUGCAGCCCACCUCUUUUGAGACAUAACUGUCAUGUUUCAACUGUGUACAGAAGGAUAGUUGGCCCAUGACCUUCCGGGGUUCCUCUGGUAUCGGCUUCCCAUUUUACCACAGGGGCAACCGAUUAUGGACACGCGCUUCUACAUUUGGCUCUCCAGUUCUGGGAUCUGAGACUAAGGGCUUCAUAUUUGCAAGGCAGAUGCUCUAUCCACGGACAGACACACCACCCAUCUCAGCUCCCAAAAGACUUUAACUUCUUUUUGCCUUGGCAAACUUUGACUUUCAACAGAAUUCACCCGGAGCUCCUUAGGGAAAGAUUUUGGAUGCCCCUUUCUUGAGUAGUCCUGUCCUCCUCCGGGUUUUUCAGACACUGUGUGCCUUUCUCUUGCUGACAUCUGUCACCCAUUGUAGAGUCAUUCCUACCUGUUGGAGGGGGAUCCCCCAGAAGUCAGAGACUUUUUUUGUUUGUUUUUUAAUACAUCUCUCUGACUAGAAUAUAGACUCCUGCAGGAGGAAGAAGAAACUGAAGAGAGGAAGAAGCCAUGUCCUGUUUGCUGAAAGCUUGCAUAUGGGUAUUGUGAAGAUGAUUGACAGAUGACAGAGAGGUGAUAGGAAACUGUCUAAUACAGGAAGGUGGCCAUGGGCAUUCAAGAUGGGCCAAGCUGAGAUGGUGGUGUCUCAGCAAAGACUUGAAGAGCCUGUGGAGUUAGCCAAGCAGAUUCUGGGAAAACAAUUUUCAAGAGAAAGGACACAGCAAGUGUGAAGCUACUUGGGUCUUGCUUGAGGAUAAAGAAGGGUGAAGAUGUGAGUGGAGUUGGUGUAGAGGGAGCAUUGAGGGUUCAGUGGAAGUCCAUGGGAAGAAGAUCAAGAGGACUUGGAGCUGCUGCAGAGUUUUGCAUAAAGAUGUGACAGUUCUGCAUGGCACUUCUAUUUCCAAACCUGGCUAUAUUCUGAACAACCACCACUGAGGAAUUGGACAUUUGGAUUCAGUCCAGGACAGCUGGAGUAACCCUGUCUUUGAGGACAGAGGCUGACACCUUGAGAGGACCAAGGCCUCUCCCCAAGCUUGCUGGGCAAUAUUGUCAGGAAACCUGAACACGUGGUCCACCGUUCUUGUCGUCCCAGACUCUAUCUGUUUUGGUGGAUGGUGUUCAGUCCAGGCAGAGGAAGUGCUACAGGGAUGGCCUGCCUGCAAGAACCAAUUAAGGCUGCCCUUCACUCUGAAGACAAUCUUACUUCCCAGACUGGAGACCUGUGGGUAAGGGACAGGAUUAUCUAUUUUAAUGUUGCUGACCUCAUUUUCUGAAAACUAAGUUCAACCGGAACUUCAACGUGUUUAAACAAAUAAAAGUGACAGGCAGGUUUUCCUGGAAGUUUCCCCCAUCCUUAUGUCAUGGACGUUAUUAUUUUUUUUUCUACAUGGAAACAUCUUGAAACUGGAAAGACAUGGGAUAUUAUUAUGUGAGACCCAUUCAUCGGGGUUGGGUUCAAGUCCUUUAUUCCAGAUGUGGGAGAAUCUGGACUUGGCGAGCACGCAGUUUCCUUUGGAUCACACAGAACAUUUGAGGCUGUGUUGGGCGAAGCAACCCCUGACUCUGUACUCAUUACACAGUAUUCUUUCCAUGAGACCAAUGCUAUGGAUUUGAGGAUCACCUGUCAAUAUCCAACAGCCCCCCCCAUCUAAACUAUGAGCCCACCAAAGGUGACACGCUGAGGACCCCCACAGAGAGACAUGCCUGACUCAUCCCGCCCCCCAUUUCACAAGUGAAGCCUGUGAUUAGAAAAAUAAUAAAAGCCCAU
rnacentral:lncRNA from 1 species